GUGGGGAAUAUUGGGCAAUGGGGGAAACCCUGACCCAGCGACGCCGCGUGAGGGAAGACGGCCUUCGGGUUGUAAACCUCUUUUGUACGGGAAGAAGGAAGUGACGGUACUGUACGAAUAAGUCCCGGCUAACUACGUGCCAGCAGCCGCAGUAAUACGUAGGGGACGAGCGUUGUCCGGAAUUACUGGGCGUAAAGGGCGCGCAGGCUGUGCUGCAAGUCAGCUGUGAAAUGUCUGGGCUUAACCCGGGCAUGCGGUUGAGACUGCAGUGCUGGAGUGCUGUAGAGGCAAGUGGAAUUCCCAGUGUAGCGGUGAAAUGCGUAGAUAUUGGGAAGAACACCGGUGGCGAAGGCGACUUGCUGGGCAGCAACUGACGCUGAGGCGCGAAAGCCAGGGGAGCAAACGGGAUUAGAUACCCUGGUAGUCC
rnacentral:rRNA from 1 species